rnacentral:tRNA from 1 species
CAGGGUGUAGCGCAGUCGGUAGCGCACUCGCAUCGCAAGCGAGGGGUCGGCGGUUCGAGCCCGCCCACCCUCG